AUACCCGCUGAACUUAAGCAUAUCAAUAAGCGGAGGAAAAGAAACCAACAGGGAUUGCCUCAGUAACGGCGAGUGAAGCGGCAACAGCUCAAAUUUGAAAUCUGGCCUCGGCCCGAGUUGUAAUUUGUAGAGGAAGCUUUUGGUGCGGCACCGACCGAGUCCCCUGGAACGGGGCGCCAUAGAGGGUGAGAGCCCCGUAUGGUUGGACGCCUAUCCUCUGUAAAGCUCCUUCGACGAGUCGAGUAGUUUGGGAAUGCUGCUCAAAAUGGGAGGUAAAUUUCUUCUAAAGCUAAAUACCGGCCAGAGACCGAUAGCGCACAAGUAGAGUGAUCGAAAGAUGAAAAGCACUUUGAAAAGAGGGUUAAAUAGCACGUGAAAUUGUUGAAAGGGAAGCGCUUGUGACCAGACUUGCGCCCCGUCGAUCAUCCGGGGUUCUCCCCGGUGCGCUCGGCGGGGCUCAGGCCAGCAUCGGUUUUCGCGGGGGGACAAAGGUCCCGGGAACGUGGCUCCUCCGGGAGUGUUAUAGCCCGGGGCGCAAUGCCCUCGCGGGGACCGAGGACCGCGCUUCGGCAAGGAUGCUGGCGUAAUGGUCAUCAGCGACCCGUCUUGAAACACGGACCAAGGAGUCAAGGUUUUGCGCGAGUGUUUGGGUGUAAAACCCGCACGCGUAAUGAAAGUGAACGUAGGUGAGAGCUUCGGCGCAUCAUCGACCGAUCCUGAUGUAUUCGGAUGGAUUUGAGUAGGAGCGUUAAGCCUUGGACCCGAAAGAUGGUGAACUAUGCUUGGAUAGGGUGAAGCCAGAGGAAACUCUGGUGGAGGCUCGCAGCGGUUCUGACGUGCAAAUCGAUCGUCAAAUCUGAGCAUGGGGGCGAAAGACUAAUCGAACCAUCUAGUAGCUGGUUACCGCCGAAGUUUCCCUCAGGAUAGCAGUGUUGUUCUUCAGUUUUAUGAGGUAAAGCGAAUGAUUAGGGACUCGGGGGCGCUUUUUAGCCUUCAUCCAUUCUCAAACUUUAAAUAUGUAAGAAGCCCUUGUUGCUUAAUUGAACGUGGGCAUUCGAAUGUACCAACACUAGUGGGCCAUUUUUGGUAAGCAGAACUGGCG
rnacentral:rRNA from 2 species